GAAAACAUGCAGCUCAAUCUCAGUACUUAAAGGAAUAUGCCACAGUUUGUUGAAACAGGGUUCAUCACGGUCUCCCCUAGCUGUAAAUAGGUGGGCCAACGCAUUUUGUUUCUCAGUGCAUGAAUUGUUUUAG